CUUGGGCUCACGAUUCUCUGACACGGACGUUGGACCCCAGGGUCCCAAGUUCGAAUCCAGGCAAAGGUAAGUAUUCUAACUGGCCUUUUAUUUACAGAUUUGAGUCGUACUCAUGUAUAGUGGUUUGAGGUACUGGAACCUUAAAGGGAUAUCACCCUCAAAUUCCAUAAAGAUACCAUUCUUGGACCCUUAUAGGGAACUCCUUAAAAGGAUACCACUCUGUAACUACUUAAAAGGGAUACCACCCUUGAAUUCCGUAAAGUGAUAACACCCUUGGACAUAGACUAUCAAGAUGGUACUGUAUAAG